rnacentral:lncRNA from 1 species
AGCAUGCAAACAUAACAUAGGACUUAUAAGCAUGAAAUGAAAUAGUACAAAUGAGAUCUUAUAGGUAGGAUUUCUACCCGAUUUAGCAAAUAAAAAUAAGAAACCCUUCCCGAUUUUACUAAAUACCCCAGAGCUGUUUGUUACAAAUUAUUACAGACCAUAUUAAUGAAUGAAUUACACAAUCAUUAAAUAGACUAUAGAGAGCCUACAACAUGCCCAAAUACACUGGGGCGACCCAGGCCUCCAAACCACAGCACCUCCAAGGCUCACUUUCACAGGUAUAGAAUAAUCACUCAUAAUAUCCAGAUCUCUAGUGUGCCAAAGUUCCCAACAGCUUCAAGGACCCAGGGCAAUGCUUACACUAGAGGACCAAAUGCUCAAACACAAAUCAAAGGAGGUUAGGAACCAAACCCCAGUGUGUCAGAGUCAAGAGUCUUACAUGGAUCCCAAGCAGUAGUUACGCUGAUGAGGUAAAGGAUAGAACCUAACGGACCUAAGAAUAGGAGUUUUAAAAGUAGUAGCAUAUAAAAAGGGACUUUGGUAAAGGUCAGAUUUUAAAAGAGGUUCAAUUUUAGAAAAAGCCAUCAUGACAGAGUUUAAAACAUAGAAUAUAGGCAAAAAUUGCAUUAAGAAACAAAUUGGCAAGAUUUGCAAAGUUGUUCAUGCGCAAUAUCUAAUGGGUUAAAGUCUGAAAGGCCUAAUUUGGCGAAGUGUACAUGUUAAAAUUUUAGGGCAGCUUGUUUAAUCACAGAAAACAUUUAGACAAUGUAUUAUGCAAACAGUCAGAUAAUCACAUGAAUCCAAACGAAUGCAAAACAUAUUAGAAGGCAAGUUAUUAUGGCACAUGAAUGACAGAGAAAGGUUUAAUAACAUUACCAGUUUAUAAAGACUCGGGACUGAUUAACUUAUGAACAUACUAGUCUUAUUCUAAAGAUGCUAAGUUCAAGAUAGUUUCAGAACUAGCAAAGCAUCAUGCAUGAAGCAAGUUAAAAGACAUUAAGCUAAUCACCUAACAGGAUUCAUAUUAUUCAAAACAACCAGUAUCAGAACUAACAGUAUUAAUUAGAGGACUAAGGAGACUCAUACGAAAAUGAAAUUAGCAGAAUCAUGCUCAAAAGAUAAAUUUUAAACAUGCUCAAAGGGUAAAUUCUAAACAUGCUGGAUCAUAAACAUAGUUCAUGGAUACAUAGGAAUUAAAUGAUAAAAGGAUAGUCACUCGCCAGUUAGGCAAGAAAAUAGGAAUAACACCACAAUAGUCACAUAAUCAAUUAAGAUCUAACUUUUUAGGGAAAAUAAUACAUAAACAAAGAGUUCAUAAUAUUAACAGAGAAUAAUGGCAUGUAAUCAUGCAAGUAACACUUAAAAUAAGGGAUACAAUAGAGAAUAAGGAAAAUAUCACAUAAAAAUCGAUUAACAAUAAGAUUUAGGGAAAAAUAAGGUUAAAUAAAGGAAACACUGCAGAUUAAAUAUAAAUAAGGAAAAUAUUAGUCAAAUACGAGAAAGGAAAGUGUAUCAAUCAGAAAUCAAUAAAGAACAAGCAAAGGUCUCAAACCCCAGUUGAGAUUGAUGCUUUGAAUCAGACCUGAGAUGUAAGAAUCGUUCAACAAAACAUGUAUAUGGACGAAAGAUCUUCCAGAUCUUCACAGAAUCAGGGUGAAUCUGCCAUUAUUGAGGUAGUUCUUUCUAUAAAUGGGGAAAGAAUCUAAGUAAUACCAUAGACGAGCGUAUAAUUAUAGAGUAACACAAAAUGGGUAAGUAAAUCAUGGAUUUAUUCCAUAUUUGAGCCGGAAUAGAAGAGAUCUGGGGGUGACUGUGAUAGGGUUUGAUAGAAUAAGGUGAAGUUCGUGAGAGUAUAGAGACGGCAGGGAUGGGCUAAUGAGGGUUAGCAUUUGGUAUAGGUAUGUUAAUUAAAAGAAAAGGAGUGAUAUGAUCCAUUGAUCUCUGAGAUCAAUGACUGUGAUUUGAAAAAGGCCGGGUCAGUUCCGGAUUGGGUUAAAGGGUUAAGGAUUGGGCAUAUGUGUUGGGCCAAGAAUUUGGGUAGGUGUUUUAGGUAACUGGGCUAAGGGGUUGGUAGUUUAGGUCCGAAAUUAGUGAGUUUAGAGGCUAUUAGAUAAAUACCUAAUUUCAUUAAUAAAUUAAUUUGUAAAAAAUGAUAAAUAAAAGUGAAAAAUACGAUUAAUAACAAUUAUUUAUUACUAUAAAAGCAUAAAAAGUUAUUUUUGCGUAAGUAAAGU